GCGGAGGGCCGAUGCCACGGGAGCACGGGGUCGGGCCACCGCGUUCCCGCUGCAUACCCAGCCGGGCGCCGCGCUGCGGUCCGAGCCAGCGGGGAGAGGGCGGCGGCCGCGCCGUGGAACCCCUGCUUGCUCUGGUAACUUAGAAGAUGAUAAUUAAUGUGGUUGCUGAUAAUUCUGAAUAAAUACAGCUUUUAUCCCAGGUGUGCCAUUUUGAAGACUGAGACCAUAGAGUUCUAAGAAUAAAGGAAAGAGCCCUUGGGAAAUUAUUAUAUAUAGCAAAAAUGUGAAUCCUCAGAUGGAAUGAAAGGCCUGCACCAUAGACAUCGAAGCAUUUAAAUUUUUUUCUUCUAAUUUUUUAUGAAGCACCCCGCUUGAAGAGUUUGAAAUGGACUUUACCACUGAGAAAUCAAGAUGGCAGCCCAUUAUGGGGAAUUGAGGAAAAUGGAUUAAUGCAAGAAUGCUGUAAUAUUAUACAACCAACACAGGAUUCUUUUAAUGUGGAUUCCAUGAAAUGAAUGAUUCUUACCCAACACAAAUGGACAGUGGAAUUUACUUCCUAAAGACUUGUUACAUGUCAUGUACAUUUUUGACAUCUGGAGAAGACUCUACAAUUCUACAAAUGGUAGUUUGUAUUCCUGGAAUUUCUUGCAGUUUGAUCUGAAGUGACCUUAUGGAAUGUUAACUUUAAUAAAAUCUCUAAAACUUAAAAA
rnacentral:lncRNA from 1 species